rnacentral:rRNA from 1 species
CCAAUAGCGUAUAUUAAAGUUGUUGCAGUUAAAAAGCUCGUAGUUGAAUUUCGGGAUUGGCGCAUCGGUCGUGCCUCACGGGGUAUGAACUGGUGCAGUCAAUUUCUCACCUUCUGGAGAACCGCGAUGUCCUUAAUUGGGUGCCGCGGGGAACCAGGACCUUUACUUUGAAAAAAUUAGAGUGUUUAAAGCAGGCAUUUUUGCUUGAAUACAUUAGCACGGAAUAAUAAAAUAGGACGGCAUGGUUCUAUUUUGUUGGUUUCUAGGACCACCGUAAUGAUUAAUAGGGAUAGUUGGGGGCAUUAGUAUUCAAUUGUCAGAGGUGAAAUUCUUGGAUUUAUUGAAGACUAACUACUGCGAAAGCAUUUGCCAAGGAUGUUUUUAUUAAUCAAGAACGAAAGUUAGGGGAUCGAAGACGAUCAGAUACCGUCGUAGUCUUAACCAUAAACUAUGCCGACUAGGAAUCAGACGAUGUUAAUUUUUUAAUGACUCGUUUGGCACCUUACG